rnacentral:rRNA from 1 species
GACGAACGCUGGCGGCGUGCUUAACACAUGCAAGUCGAACGGAAAGGCCCUGCUUUUGUGGGGUGCUCGAGUGGCGAACGGGUGAGUAACACGUGAGUAACCUGCCCUUGACUUUGGGAUAACUUCAGGAAACUGGGGCUAAUACCGGAUAGGAGCUCCUGCUGCAUGGUGGGGGUUGGAACGUUUCGGCGGUUGGGGUUGGACUCGCGGCUUAUCAGCUUGUUGGUGGGGUAGUGGCUUACCAAGGCCGUGACGGGUAGCCGGCCUGAGAGGGUGACCGGCCACAUUGGGACUGAGAUACGGCCCAGACUCCUACAGGAGGCAGCAGUGGGGAAUAUUGCACAAUGGGCGGAAGCCUGAUGCAGCAACGCCGCGUGCGGGAUGACGGCCUUCGGGUUGUAAACCGCUUUCGCCUGUGACGAAGCGUGAGUGACGGUAAUGGGUAAAGAAGCACCGGCUAACUACGUG